rnacentral:rRNA from 1 species
CCAAUAGCGUAUAUUAAAGUUGUUGCAGUUAAAAAGCUCGUAGUUGAAUUUCGGGAUUAGUACGUUGGUCGUGCCUUCGGUACGUACUGAUGUUACUGGUUCCUACCUUCUGAGGAACCGUCAUGUCAUUAAUUUGGUGUGGUGGGAAAUCAGGACUGUUACUUUGAAAAAAUUAGAGUGUUUAAAGCAGGCUCGCGCUUGAAUACAUUAGCCUGGAAUAAUGAAAUAGGACGUUCGAUCCUAUUUUGUUGGUUUCUAGGAUUGACGUAAUGAUUAAUAGGGAUAGUUGGGGGCAUUAGUAUUCAAUUGUCAGAGGUGAAAUUCUUGGAUUUAUUGAAGACUGACUACUGCGAAAGCAUUUGCCAAGGAUGUUUUCAUUAAUCAAGAACGAAAGUUAGGGGAUCGAAGACGAUCAGAUACCGUCGUAGUCUUAACCAUAAACUAUGCCGACUAGGGAUCGGAUGAUGUUAAUUUUUUAAUGACUCAUUCGGCGCCUUACG